rnacentral:rRNA from 1 species
UACGUAGGGUGCAAGCGUUAUCCGGAUUCACUGGGUUUAAAGGGUGCGUAGGCGGGCAUUUAAGUCAGUGGUGAAAUACCUGAGCUUAACUUGGGAACUGCCAUUGAUACUAUUUGUCUUGAAUGUCGUGGAGGUUAGCGGAAUAUGUCAUGUAGCGGUGAAAUGCAUAGAUAUGACCCGGAACACCUAUUGCGAAGGCAGCAGGCUAAACAAAGAUUGACGCUGAGGCUCGAAAGCGUGGGGAUCAAACAGG